rnacentral:rRNA from 1 species
UAUCCUACGGGGCGCAGCAGUGGGGGAUAUUGCACAAUGGGGGAAACCCUGAUGCAGCGACGCCGCGUGGGUGAAGAAGCGCCUCGGCGCGUAAAGCCCUGUCAGCAGGGAAGAAAAUGACGGUACCUGAAGAAGAAGCCCCGGCUAACUACGUGCCAGCAGCCGCGGUAAUACGUAGGGGGCAAGCGUUAUCCGGAUUUACUGGGUGUAAAGGGGGCGCAGACGGCGAUGCAAGCCAGGAGGGAAAGCCCGGGGCCCAACCCCGGGACAGGUCUUGGAACUGCGUGGCUAGAGGGCAGGAGGGG